rnacentral:rRNA from 1 species
AAUGAACGUUGGCGGCGUGGAUUAGGCAUGCAAGUCGAGCGAGAACCCCGCAAGGGGGGACAGUGGCGAAAGGGACAGUAAUGUGUAGAUUAUCUGCCCUCAGGUCCGGGAUAGCUGCGGGAAACUGCAGGUAAUACCGGAUAACAUCUCCGGAUCAAAGGUGUGAUUCCGCCUGAGGAUGAGUCUGCAUCCUAUUAGCUAGUUGGUGGGGUAAUGGCCUACCAAGGCAUUGAUGGGUAGCAGGUGUGAGAGCACGACCUGCGUCAUUGGGACUGAGACACUGCCCAGACACCUACGGGUGGCUGCAGUCGAGAAUCUUCGGCAAUGGGCGCAAGCCUGACCGAGCGACGCCGCGUGUGGGAUGAAGGCCUUCGGGUUGUAAACCACUGUCAGAGGGGAUGAAAUGCAGGUGGGUUCUCCCAUCUGUUUGACAUAGCCUCAGAGGAAGGACGGGCUAAGUUCGUG